GCUUUACAUCUCUUCCUUCGAUAUCCUCAGUCCUUACCAAAGAAGACGCGGUCAUGGAAGAAGACCAAGACCCUCAAUUACCAAGUUUUGAUUUCAAUUCAUUCAUGAUACACAAGGGUAAUGCAGUUAACCAAGCCCUGGACUCGGCUGUUCCACUCCGUGACCCUGUUAAAAUCCAUGAAGCAAUGCGUUACUCCCUUUUAGCCGGUGGCAAAAGGGUCCGCCCAGUUCUUUGUUUGGCUGCCUGUGACCUUGUUGGUGGCAAAGAAUCCAUGGUUAUGCCAGCAGCUUGUGCUCUUGAAAUGAUCCACACCAUGUCUUUAGUCCACGAUGAUCUUCCUUGCAUGGACAACGAUGAUCUUCGUAGAGGGAAACCAACUAACCACAAAGUUUAUGGUGAAGAUAUAGCUGUGUUAGCAGGGGAUGCUCUUUUAGCCUUUUCGUUUGAACAUAUAGCUGUAUCCACAGUUGGUGUCACACCUGAUAGGAUUGUAAGAGCAAUUGGGGAAUUAGCUAAAUCUAUUGGGGCUGAAGGGUUGGCGGCUGGUCAAGUUGUGGAUAUAAGCAGUGAGGGUCUAACCAAUGUGGGGUUGGAUCAUUUAGAAUUCAUUCAUGUUCAUAAAACUGCUGCUUUGCUUGAAGCAGCUGCGGUUUUAGGGGCUAUUCUUGGUGGUGGACGUGAUGAAGAUGUGGAAAAGUUGAGGAAAUUUGCAAGGAAUAUUGGGCUUUUAUUUCAAGUUGUGGAUGAUAUUCUUGAUGUAACAAAGUCAUCUAAAGAAUUAGGGAAGACUGCAGGGAAAGAUUUGGUGGCUGAUAAAGUGACUUAUCCUAAAUUGAUGGGGAUAAACAAAUCAAAGGAGUUUGCAGAGAAGUUGAAGAGUGAUGCAUUAGAGUUGCUUCAAGGGUUUGAUCCUGAGAAAUCUACCCCCUUAAUUGCUUUAGCUAAUUAUAUAGCUUACAGGCAAAAUUAGCUUCCUCUUGUGUUUGAUAAAAAGGGCUUCGAGAAAGAAGCACGAUAGUAGUAAUAAUAUUGUGAAUAGUCUACUACAAUGUUUAUGUUCUAAAGCUCCCAUCAAUGGUACGUGGAUGUAAUUGUUAAAUUCAGUUCUUCCUCAAUUUGUUGGUCUUAUGUACGAGUUCUUACUCUGAAUCUGGAACUUUUUAUCAAUAAGUACAAUGAUAAAUCUGGUGAUUUCUUCUUUAACAGUCAAUGCAACAAUGUUUCUUUGUGAUGUUGAAACCGUUAACAAGUACGUCUUGUUAUUCUGUAUCACUUGGGAUGCAAGUGUUGAAUAUAUAGUGUUAUUCCGGCUGGUUUUCUGUUGUAUCUUUCGACAUCUUGCCUGCCAUAACACUGUCACUGCAAUUUAUAAAAAUUGUCCACAUAAAUAUACAUAUGUCUUUUCACAUCUUUUAAUUUUAUUCAUCUUCUUUAUUGUUAUUAUUAUUUAUUUACUUAUUUACGUGUUUAUUAUCAUUUCAAAAAGAUAUUUUAAUUCUAUUCGUUUAUUUACUUGUUGUUAUGUGAUUGAUUCGUCUCUUAUAUUUAUUUAUUUCAUUUUUGUUGUUUAUUUAUAUUGUUUAUGCUUAACUUGUCGUAUUCAUUAUCGUUUUGUUAUGCAUAUUAACACCAUACAUCAAAAAAGGAAUUUUUCUAAAUAAGGCAAUAUUUUGCGUUUGGAAAAUCGAGAAAACGUGCCCUAACGUGCUGGGUUUCGAUUUCUCGUUUGACCAAAAUAGCCAAAUACCCUUUUUAAACUUUCAAAAUAAGACCAUAUUUCGCGUUUGGAAAUUCGAGAAAACGUGCCCUAACGUGUUGGGUUUCGAGUACUCGUUUGGCAAAAUAGUCGAAUAUCCUUUUGAAAUUUUAAAACGAGGCAAUGUUUUGCGUUUGGAAAUUCGAGAGAAUGUGCCCUAACGUGCUAGGUUUCGAUUUCUCGUUCGACUAAAUAGCCAAAUAUCCUCUUAAAUUUUAAUCCAUGUCGUUCGAGUUUUUUAAGGAUCAUACUCUAAAUCUCUUUAAAGUUUUCAAUCUUCGACACUAAGACAUUAACUAAUCAACUAGGUACCAAUUUUUGGGCGUUACGAGGGUACUAAUCCUUCCUCGUGCGUAACCGACUCCCGAACCCAUUUUUUUGAAUUUCGUAGACCAAAAUCAUUGUUUUAAUAAAAAAUUAAAUCGUUUAUUAAAAACAACCACUUUUCGAGGUGACCCGAUCACACCUUAAAAAAACAAAGAUUGGUGGCGACUCCCAUUUUCGUUUUAUUUUCAAAAUCUAAGUCGACCCCGUUUUCUCAAAAAAAUUGUGUCAACAGCCAUCAUCCACAAGAAAUUUCAGACUCUUAGCUUCAUUUUUGCUUUCUUUAAUUAAGUGGUAGAUGUCAUUUAAAUGAUGAGAAAAUGUGAAAUAGAAAAUUAAUGGUCGUUCAAAAGGAUUGAAAUUGAAGCAUCUUUUAUCUGCAGAUUUUCAUAAAGGAAAACAUGCAUAUUCUGCAACUAUCAUCAUCAUAUAUAUUAAAAUGUAGUAUUUAUUUUAAUAUUCUACUCUUGGGUGUUGUUUAAAACUUGAAAAAAUUAAGUUAUUUUUCCUUUUCUUUUUUCAAUUUUUUAAAAGAACUAGAGGAUAAAUUAUUUGAUAAAACUUGUAAAUUUGAAGGCUUAAAUUUAUUAAAUUAUUUAAAAUUAGAGUCAAAUUAAUAGAAUAUAUAAAUAUUAAGCACUAAAUAUGUUAUUAUACUAAAUAAAAAAAGGCCACAUCAUUAUUUCCAUUAUCAAUUUAACGACAAGUAAUCAAAAAAAAAGUGAAUCCAAAUAUUAAUACCUAAAUUAAAAAAUUUUAAAAUUAGAUGACCAAAACAAGAAAACAAACAUAAUCGAGCCACGAUUGAUAUAUGUUCUGCGGAAGCGUGUAAAAGAGUAAAAUUAUUGUACUAAAAAAUCACACUAAGUUCAAUUCUCAGGAAAGAGAGGUGGAUCGCAAGGAUCGCUUAAGUACCAGGUCUUUCCUAGCCAGAAUAUCCUUCAAUCGUAAUUUAAUAGCACAAUAAAUCACUACAAUCACACACACAAUUCAUGCAGAAUAAUACAAUAAAGAACACAAGAAUUUAACGAGGUUCAGCAAAUUUUGCCUACGUCCUCGGGCACUACCAAAUAUAUUUCACUCCAAAAUACAAGUGAGAAUUUACAAAGAGAGAGAGAGAAAACAAUGCCUUAAGUAGAGAAUGGCAAGUUUGAGAUACAGAAUGAGAGAUGGUUAUGCCUAUUUAUAGUUGAGGUUUAGGGAUCAACUUGCAAAGUCACUUUACAAUUAGGGACCAUAUAUUGCAAAUAUUCAGAUUUUAUUAUGCCAAUAUCUCGAUACCCAUAUCUUUGACUUUCCAAUAUUUGAUACCCAUAUCUUUGACUUUCCAAUAUUUGAUACCCAAAUCUUUGACUUUCUAUUAUUUGAUACCCAUAUCUUUGAUUUUCCAUAAAUAUGGAUAAUUCCCAAUAAUCUCCACCUUGAAGAUUUGAUUCGAGUAAUCUUAUCUUCACACAAUUCUCUCUGCCUUUGUCAACAACACUUGAUAGUGCCUUCUUCAACUGUUAAACAUGCAGAAUAUUGAUCAAGUUCAAACAAUGUUCGAACUUGAUUGUUGUUACCACCUUGGUCAUCAUAUCUGCGGGAUUAUCUGCAGUCUUAAUCUUCUGAAGGUGAAUUUUCCCCUCAUCAAUAAUUUCCCGCACAAAGUGGAAACGUACAUCGAUAUGCUUUGUACGUGCAUGAUAGACUUGAUUCUUUGCUAAAUGAAUAGCACUUUGACUAUCACAAUACACAUUAAUAUGCUCCUGGACCAAUCCCAAGAUUUUAACCAUACCUUGUAACCAAAUAGCUUCCUUUACAGCCUCUGUUACAGCCAUGUAUUCAGCUUCUGUGGUUGACAAUGCAACUGUAGACUGCAGUGUAGACUUCCAACUUAUUGGUCCUCCAGCAAGAGUAAACACAUAACCAGUGGUUGAUCUUCGUUUGUCCAAAUCACCGGCAUAAUCAGAAUCAACGUACCCAACAACACCUUUACCAAGUGUAGUAUCCUGCUUGAACAGUAAUCCAAUAUCCAUGGUCUUAUGAAUAUACCGUAGAAUCCAUUUCACAGCUUGCCAAUGUCCUUUUCCAGGAUUAUGCAUAUACCUGCUCACUAUACUAACUGCCUGUGAAAUGUCGGGUCUUGUACACACCAUUGCAUACAUCAAGCUACCUACUGCAUUAGAAUACAGAACUUGUAACAUGUAUUCUUGUUCCGUAUUUGUCGAAGGAGAUAGUUGUGCAGAAAGCUUGAAAUGAGAAGCCAACGGGGUACUUACAGCUUUAGUCUGCUCGUUCAUGCCAAACUUCUGUAGUAUCUUCUUUAAAUAUUGCUUCUGAGAUAAACUAACUCUGCCAUGAGCUCUAUCCCUACAUAUUUCCAUGCCAAGGAUCUUCUUAGCUUCACCUAGAUCUUUCAUCUCAAACUCAAGGUUGAGUUGAGUCUUCAAUCUCUCAAUUUCCACUUUACUCUUAGAUGCUAUCAACAUAUCAUCAACAUAUAAGAGCAAGUAUACGAAAAAUCCUUCUUGUAGCUUCUGAAAAUACACGCAAUGAUCAAAUUUACUUCUUGUAUACCUUUGCCCUUUCAUGAACUGAUCAAAUCGCUUGUACCACUGCCUUGGAGAUUGUUUCAAUCCAUAAAGCGACUUUGUCAGUUUGCAAACCCAAUUUUCUUUAUCAGCAACCUUGAAUCCAUCUGGCUGAGUCAUAUAGAUUUCCUCUUCCAAAUCACCGUGUAAAAAUGCGGUCUUCACAUCGAGCUGAACUAGUUCAAGAUCAUAUUGCGCAACCAAGGCUAGCAAAAUCCGAAUAGACGAAUGCUUCACAACUGGAGAAAAUACUUCAUUGUAGUCUAUUCCUUCUUUCUGAGCGUAACCCUUUGCUACCAAUCUAGCCUUGUAUCGAACUUCAUUUUUAUCAGGAAAUCCUUCCUUCUUUGCAUAUACCCAUUUGCAUCCAAUUGCCUUCUUUCCUUUAGGUAGUGUCACCAACUCUCAAGUCCUAUUUUUAUGAAGAGACUGCAUUUCUUCAUUCAUAGCUUGCUUCCACUUUACACUAUCAGAGUUACUUCUUGCUUCUGUGUAAGUAGAAGGAACAUCAUCAUCUGCAAUUGGAAGUGCAUAGGCCACCAUAUCAUCAAAGCGAGCAGGCAUACGAAUCUCUCUUCUUGGCCUUCUAUAUGCAAUUGAAUCAUGUUGUUGUAGAAGUUCUUGGGUCGAAACUUCUUCAUCAUUUGUUCCUUCAAUAUUAGCUGGAUUAUCAUUAACCUUUUCAAGCUCCACCUGCUGCAAAGUGCCACUGGUUGUGUUAUCCUUUUGUGAAUCAUUAUUCUUCAUCAUGGUUGAUUCAUCAAAAGUCACAUCUCUACUGAAAAUUAUUUUCCUUGUAUCAGGACACCAGAGACGGUAUCCUUUUACUCCACCAGUUAUACCCAUGAAUAAUGAUUUCUUUGCUCUUGGGUCUAACUUAGAUUCUUUUACAUGAUAAUAUGCAGUGGAACCAAAAAUAUGUAAAGAAUCAUAAUCAAUAGCAGGUUCACCAGCCCACCUCUCCAUAGGAGUUUUUCCAUUUAUUGUAGCUGAUGGCAACCGAUUAAUUAGAUGGCACGCAUAUGUAACUGCCUCAGCCCAAAAUUCUUUGCCCAAUCUAGCAUUGGACAACAUACAUCGAACUUUCUCCAGUAUAGUCCGAUUCAUACGUUCUGCCACCCCAUUCUGUUGUGGUGUAUCUCGAACAGUGAAGUGUCAUACAAUACCUUUAUCGUGACAUACUUGUAGAAAUGGAUCAUUCUUGUACUCAGUACCAUUGUCUGAUCGAAGUCGUUUGACUUUUCGACCAGCCUGGGUCUCCACCAUCUUCUUCCAUUUCAAAAAUACAUCCAAAACUUUAUUUUUCCUUUUCAUUAGAUACACCCAUACUUUUCUUGAAUAAUCAUCAACAAAAGUAACAAAAUAGUGCAUACCUCCCAAAGAAGCCACUUUAGUAGGUCCCCACACAUCAUUGUGAACGUAGUCCAGAAUUUCUUUUGUAUUGUGAAUUGCUGAACCAAAUUUUAUCCUCGUCUGCUUGCCCAGAACACAAUGUUCACAGAAUUCCAAUUUGCAAGAAUUUGCACCUUUCAACAAGCCUUGCUUCGCCAAACUCUGCAAAGCUUUUUCACCAGCAUGUCCCAAUCGCAUAUGCCAUAACCUGGUAGCCUCUGAAUCUGCAUCUUUCGUAAAAGCUGUUGAUGUUGAUCCAAUAACUGUACUUCCAUUUAAAUAGUACAGAUUAUUCCUUCUUGUGCCUUUCAUCACCGUCAAUACCCCAGCUACUACCUUUAGUAAUCCAUCUCUCAAAGUGAUUGUGAGCCCUUUAGAUUCUAGGACCCCUAAUGAGAUAAGAUUUUUCUUCAAGCUAGGUAUGUAGCGAACAUCUGUCAAGACUUGAAUUGAGCCGUCGUGAUUCUUCAAUUGGAUUGUACCUACUCCCAUUGUCUUACAAGCGCUAUCAUUUCCCAUAAAAACAACUCCACCUUCUAGUUCUUUAAGACUAGAAAACCAGUCAUUAUUAGGACACAUAUGGUAAGUACAUCCCGAAUCCAAAAUUCACUCAUCUGUAUGACAUGCCAUUGCCAUGCCAACCAAGCUAAAGUCUGGCUCCUCAUCAUGCUCCGCUACACAUGCAUCAGAAAUAGCUUUACCCUUUUGUAACUUAGGACAAUUCUUUUUCCAAUGCCCUUUUUCACGACAAAAAGCACAUUCAUAUUUGGCAGGUCUCCCUUUGGACUUACUCCUUCUACCAGAUUUGUUGCUGCGCGAACGACUUCUUACUGUUAAGACUUCUGUAGUUGUAUCUCUGUGAUCUUUUUUAUCUUUCUUUCGAGUCUCAGAUCUAUACAACGCACUACAGACUGCAUCAAAUGUGAUUGUAUCCUUCCCAUGAAGCAAUGUGGUGGUAAGAUGAUCAUAUUCAUCAGGAAGAGAAUUCAACAACAGUAAUGCAUUGUCUUCAUCUUCAAAUUUCUCAUCCAAAUUUAGCAAGUCUGCUAAAAUUUUAUUGAAUGAGUUCACAUGGUCAUUCAUCGACAUACCGGGUGCAUACGUGAAUCGAUAAAGUUUCUUUUUCAUAUAAAGCCUAUUUUCAAGACUUUUUGUUAGAAACUUUUCUUCCAGUGUAUCCCACAACUUCUUCGCUGAUGUCUCCCUCAUGACAGAGUACUUCUGCUCUUUGGCCAAACAUAGGCGAAUUGUUCCACAUGCCUUUCUAUUGAUCUUGGCCCACUCCUUAUCAUCCAUCUUGUCAGGUUUUUCUUCAAGGGCUAUAUCCAGCUCUUGCUGACAUAAGACAUCCAGGAUCUCACAUUGCCACAUACCAAAAUUAUUGGUACCAUCAAAUUUCUCUACUUCAAAUUUCGCAUUGGUCACAGUAGUCUUUGACGAUGACUUUUCCAUUUUUUUCUCCUCAAUCCCAACUACAGUACGUGAACAGUGCCGUGAACGAUCGUAUUCCCCAAGUACGAAUCUAGCUCUGAUACCAAUUGUUGUGCGGAAGCGUGUAAAAGAGUAAAAUUAUUGUACUAAAAAAUCACACUAAGUUCAAUUCCCAGGAAAGAGAGGUGGAUCGCAAGGAUCGCUUAAGUACCAGGUCUUUCCUAGCCAGAAUAUCCCUCAAUCGUAAUUUAAUAGCACAAUAAAUCACUACAAUCACACACACAAUUCAUGCAGAAUAAUACAAUAAAAAACACAAGAAUUUAACGAGGUUCAGCAAAUUUUGCCUACGUCCUCGGGCACUACCAAAUAUAUUUCACACCAAAAUAUAAGUGAGAAUUUACAAAGAGAGAGAGAGAAAACAAUGCCUUAAGUAGAGAAUGGCAAGUUUGAGAUACAAAAUGAGAGAUGGUUAUGCCUAUUUAUAGUUGAGGUUCAGGGAUCAACUUGCAAAGUCACUUUACAAUUAGAGACCAUAUAUUGCAAAUAUUCAGAUUUUAUUAUGCCAAUAUCUCGAUACCCAUAUCUUUGACUUUCCAAUAUUUGAUACCCAUAUCUUUGACUUUCCAAUAUUUGAUACCCAUAUCUUUGACUUUCUAUUAUUUGAUACCCAUAUCUUUGAUUUUCCAUAAAUAUUGAUAAUUCCCAAUAAUAUAGUUUACCCUUAAAUUUUAGGCUUAUGGUUUUCCAACUCUUUAAACUAAUGCAAGAAAAAUAAAAUAAUUAAGAAAUUAAAUAGCGUAAAGUUAUCAUAAAUAAAUUGAAAUUGAUGCAAUUCUAGUGAACGUGAAGAUAUCAUUAGUCCUUGUUAGUUUUUUAAUCAUUAAAUUUUACAUCCACCCAAGAGUUUAGGCCAAUGUUCCAAAUAUUUCUGUCCAUCCUUUAAAUUGGUAAAACUUAACCUUUCGUUUGGGUAUUCUUCAAAUUAAGGAUUUAGUUUUGAAAAUUUAAAGAGGAAAAUGGAUAAAUGGGUCAAUAAUUUGUUGACACCAUUUUUUUGAGAAAACGGGGUCGACUUGGAUUUUGAAAAUAAAACGAAAAUGAGUCGCCAUCAAUCUUUUUUUUUUUGAGGUGUGAUCGGGUCACCUCGAAAAGUGGUUGUUUUUAAUAAACGAUUUAAUUUUUAUUAAAACAACGAUUUUGGUCUACGAAAUUCAGAAAAAUGAGUUCGGGAGUCGGUUACGCACGAGGAAUGAUUAGCACCCUCGUAACACCCAAAAAUUGGUACAUAGUUGAUUAGUUAAUGUCUUAGUGUCGAAGAUUGAAAACUUUAAAGAGAUUUAGAGUAUGAUCCUUAAAACAACGCGAACGACAUGGAUUAAAAUUUAAGAGGAUAUUUGGCUAUUUAGUCGAACGAGAAAUCGAAACCCAGCACGUUAGGGCACAUUCUCUCGAAUUUCCAAACGCAAAACAUUGCCUCAUUUUAAAAUUUCAAAAGGAUAUUCGACUAUUUGGCCAAACGAGUAAUCGAAACCCAACACGUUAGGGCACGUUUUCUCGAAUUUCCAAACGCGAAAUAUGGUCUUAUUUUGAAAGUUUAAAAUGGGUAUUUGGCUAUUUUGGUCAAACGAGAAAUCGAAACCCAGCACGUUAGGGCACGUUUUCUCGAUUUUCCAAACGUAAAAUAUUGCCUUAUUUAGAAAAAUUCCUUUUUUGAUGUAUGGUGUUAAUAUGCAUAACAAAACGAUAAUGAAUACGACAAGUUAAGCAUAAACAAUAUAAAUAAUCAACAAAAAUAAAAUAAAUAAAUAUAAGAGACGAAUCAAUCACAUAACAACAAGUAAAUAAACGAAUAGAAUUAAAAUAUCCUUUUGAAAUGAUAAUAAACACGUAAAUAAGCAAAUAAAUAAUAAUAACAAUAAAGAAGAUGAAUAAAAUUAAAAGAUGUGAAAAGACAUAUGUAUAUUUAUGUGGACAAUUUUUAUAAAAUAAAAAAAAAUGUGUAUAUAUGUAUAUCCUAAAAUAUAUGUCAAUAUUAUAUAAAAAUAUAUGUAUGUAUGUACAUAUUUUAAAACGAUAAAACAUAAAAAAAAAUAUAUUUAGGAAUUAUAAAAUAUACGUAUACGUUAUAAGAACGUAUAUAUGCAUAUAUAUAUUUUUAAAAAUUAUAAAGUACAAAAGACGUAUGUAUAUGCAUAUAUAUAUAUAUCUCAUCUUCAACUCCCAAAAGACGUAGCUUUACAUCUCUUCCUUCGAUAUCCUCAGUCCUUACCAAAGAAGACGCGGUCAUGAAAGAAGACCAAGACCCUCAAUUACCAAGUUUUGAUUUCAAAUCAUUCAUGGUAGACAAGGUUAAUGCAGUUAACCAAGCCCUGGACUCGGCUGUUCCACUCCGUGACCCUGUUAAAAUCCAUGAAGCAAUGCGUUACUCCCUUUUAGCCGGUGGCAAAAGGGUCCGCCCAGUUCUUUGUUUGGCUGCUUGUGACCUUGUUGGUGGCAAAGAAUCCAUGGUUAUGCCAGCAGCUUGUGCUCUUGAAAUGAUCCACACCAUGUCUUUAGUCCACGAUGAUCUUCCUUGCAUGGACAACGAUGAUCUUCGUAGAGGGAAACCAACUAACCACAAAGUUUAUGGUGAAGAUAUAGCUGUGUUAGCAGGGGAUGCUCUUUUAGCCUUUUCGUUUGAACAUAUAGCUGUAUCCACAGUUGGUGUCACACCUGAUAGGAUUGUAAGAGCAAUUGGGGAAUUAGCUAAAUCUAUUGGGGCUGAAGGGUUGGCGGCUGGUCAAGUUGUGGAUAUAACCAGUGAGGGUCUAACCAAUGUGGGGUUGGAUCAUUUAGAAUUCAUUCAUGUUCAUAAAACUGCUCCAUUGCUUGAAGCAGCUGCGGUUUUAGGGGCUAUUCUUGGAGGUGGACAUGAUGAAGAUGUGGAAAAGUUGAGGAAAUUUGCAAGGAAUAUUGGGCUUUUAUUUCAAGUUGUGGAUGAUAUUCUUGAUGUAACAAAGUCAUCUAAAGAAUUAGGGAAGACUGCAGGGAAAGAUUUGGUGGCUGAUAAAGUGACUUAUCCUAAAUUGAUGGGGAUAAACAAAUCAAAGGAGUUUGCAGAGAAGUUGAAGAGUGAUGCAUUAGAGUUGCUUCAAGGGUUUGAUCCUGAGAAAUCUACCCCCUUAAUUGCUUUAGCUAAUUAUAUAGCUUACAGGCAAAAUUAGCUUCCUCUUGUGUUUGAUAAAAAGGGCUUCGAGAAAGAAGCACGAUAGUAGUAAUAAUAUUGUGAAUAGUCUACUACAAUGUUUAUGUUCUAAAGCUCCCAUCAAUGGUACGUGGAUGUAAUUGUUAAAUUCAGUUCUUCCUCAAUUUGUUGGUCUUAUGUACGAGUUCUUACUCUGAAUCUGGAACUUUUUAUCAAUAAGUACAAUGAUAAAUCUGGUGAUUUCUUCUUUAACAGUCAAUGCAACAAUGUUUCUUUGUGAUGUUGAAACCGUUAACAAGUACGUCUUGUUAUUCUGUAUCACUUGGGAUGCAAGUGUUGAAUAUAUAGUGUUAUUCCGGCUGGUUUUAUGUUGUAUCUUUCGACAUCUUGCCUGCCAUAACACUGUCACUGCAAUUUCUUUGCCUUUUUUUUUUUUUGUAAAGAAACCAUCUGUGUUAACAAAUGCUUUUUGAUAGGCUAUGGAUAUCUGUUCUAUAUGAAUAUAUAAGCUAUGUAAAUUGUGUUUGGAUGUGAUGUGUCAGGUAUAAGUAUAUAUAUUUGUUUUUCUUGUAUUUGGACCAUUUUAGUGUGUCAUGUUUUCAUUAUAAUACCUCCACUGAAUGUGUCCUAUACAGAUUUCGAAUAUAAAUACUUGAAAAAGUUUUUGAAAAGCUUGGUUUAUUCAGAGAAGGACAUGAGCCUGUUAGUUAAAGAACAAAGUGGAAAGUUUCAGAUAAGCAUGAGCUAGUGGAAUUUUCUUUUGGUUGGUGCAUUUGGUUUUUAAAAAGUGAUGAAUUGCUGCACUAAACUGCAGAUUAUUGUAUUGUGUUCAAUUGUUAAGAUUUUCUGAAAUAAUUAUAUCCAAAACGAUCCGGCGUCAACUACGAUACAUGACUGAUGGACUGUCAGUCUCAACUCCUUAAACCUUCCUAGAACAAGGGUAUUUCUUGUCUGACUAGGUAACCUUUUGAAGCUUUUGCCCUCGCCCUUAUCUUUGCAUCCAUGGAUUUCGUGAAAUAUUUUAACUCUGAGCUCAGGGUUACAAGAGAAUCGAAGCUUGGGUCACCAUGAAUACGUACCACUAUACUACGGCUUAAUGCUUCAUAAGAGUGCUUUGAAUUGCUGUUGAACAAUACUGACUCUGCAGUUAAUGAUUUAUGACAUAUAGGGGACCUCCUUUGAGAAUCAUCCAUGACUCAAAACAUAUCUUAAAGCCUGAAAGUUGGAUUAGUGUUGGCCUUAACAUAAGGAUUACUUUGUCCCGAUAUAUAUAUAUUUGUUAGAAAACAUGAACUUAGAUUAGAUAAUAGUUCAAAACACAGCCACAACAACAAUAGCUUCACGGGCUCAUUACAAACAAACAAAAGCAUCCAUAAGUAGGCAUUAGGUCGAAAAUUGCUCCCUUGAUUCACCAUAGCAUCAACACUCUUAUUUCCUUCUCUGAAGGUGUGUUUGAUUUUAGCAUUCGGGAUAGUAGUUAAGAGCAUCAUACAAUCAUCAAUGAAGCAAAAUGUUAAUAUUAAAGUAUUAGAGAUGAGACUAAUAACAACAAUCGAAUCAACUUCAACUUUAGGACAUAUAAUGUUCAAAUCCAUCACUAAUUUUAAUCCAUCUCUCAAUGCCCAAAGCUGGACUUCAAUGCUGAUAGCUUUAUGGAUAUGCCCAAAGCUUGACCCAAUUACCUAAAUUAUGCUAAUAUCUCUUUCGAGAGUAAGAGCAACUAAUUCUAGGUUGAUUAAUUGAAAUCUCUUUCUAAUUAAAACCCUUAUUGUCACAUUAACUCGAUUUAUGGAUUCCCUUACUAGAUUUGACUCUAAUCCGGUAGAUUUAUGUCAUCUUAUUUCUAGGAUUGCAUGCAACUUUACUCAAUUAUACUAGAUCUACUCUUAAACAGAGGCUUUUCCUCCACUGAAUUAAGCACAUUAAACAUGAAUUAAUAUUCCAGAAAUAUUAAAACAAGAAAUAAGCACACAUAAUUGAGAAUAAGAAUUAAGUAUUUAUCACGUAAAACAGAUGUUAAUUAAUAGAAUUUAUCAUAGAUUUCAUCUUACUUGGUAUCUAGGGAAUUAGUACAUAAUCCUGAAUAAAAAACAUCUCAAAGUCAGAAAAACUACAAGAAAUAAAGAAACUCAUAAAAACUUUAAAAGAAAUUAAAAAGAGGUCUUCGAUCUUAAUAGGAAUCUGCUUCAGAGUUGGCUCCAAUGGUGUUCUUCGAGUUUUUUCUUCAAUAUUCUCUGAUGAUCCAUACAUCUCUUCUUCUAUUUGGUAUUUAUAGACUUUAGAAUACUCAGAAAACUUAAAAUUUGCGUUUUUCCGUGUGUUUGGGAAGCAGGUUGCGAAAUCGACACGGGCUAGCACAUGGGUGUGUGUCCAGCCCGUGUGGCUCCUGAACCUACUCUUUUUCUCCGAUUUUCGCUCCUUUUCCUCCCAAAUGCUCACCUAAGUAUAAGAACAUAAAUUAAAAGGAUUAGGAGCAUUAAAUUCACCAAUUUGCAUAAAUAAUCAUAAAAAAAUGCAUUAAGAAUGAGAUUAAAAUAUGUUAGUUUUAUCAUUUAUCAGCAUGUAAUUGUCUUAUUUUUGUGUGUUGCAUCUUAUUAUUCUGGUUCGGCAAUUAGACCCGGUAAGGGGUGUUUCAUGAUGAAAUUCUUGCUCCUAGAAAAAGAGAUUCAUAAAAAGGUGGCACUAGAUACGUCGAGAAGAAAGGAAAAACUAUGAUGAAAAGUCCAACUUUAAAAAUUUUUAAUUUAGGCACUAACAUUUGUAUUUGUUGGUUACCCAUCGUUAAAUGAAUAACGUAAAUUAUGAUGUGGCAUUUUCCUAACUAGUAUAAUAACGCAUUUAGUUCUCAAUAAUUACAUAUUCUACCAAUUUGAUCUCAAUUCUAAAUAAUUCAAUAAAUUUAACCCUUCACAUUUACAAAUUCUGUCAAAUUAAUCCUCAAACUUCUUUAAAAAGAGUUAGAAGAAAGAGAAGGAUAAAUCAACUUAGUUUUUUCAGGUUUCAACGAACACCCAACAAUUAGAUGUCAAGAGUAUGAUUUUUUUUUUACACUAAAAUCUAAAUAAGAUUUCAACAUUAGUAAGCAAUUACAUUCUUGGAAAUAAGUUAGAUUCAAAAGGUGCAACAAGUUUUGAAUUAAAAUCCUUUAAUCGUGGCUAGCUUUUUAAAAACUAAAAGACUUUGAUAAAUAUUGCAACAUAUAACAUUUAUUAAAUGUAAAAAUUUUAAUAAAUAUUGAAGAUUAGAGUUCUCCUAUCAGUUCAAUGACUUAUUAGCUUCAUUUUUGCUUUCUUUAAUUAAGUGGUAGACGUCAUUUAGAUGAUGAGAAAAUUAAUGGUCGUUCAGAAGGAUUGAAAUUGAAGCAUCUUUUAUCUGCAGAUUUUCAUAAAGGAAAACAUGCAUAUCAUCAUCAUAUAUAUUAAAAUGUAGUGUUUAUUUUAAUAUUCUACUCUUGGGUGUUGUUUAAAACUUUAAAAAAUUAAGUUAUUUUUCCUUUUCUUUUUUCAAUUUUUUAAAAGAAUUAGAGGACAAUUUAUUUGAUAAGGCUUAAAUUUAUUAAAUUAUUUAAAAUUAGGGUCAAAUUAAUAGAAUAUAUAAAUUUUAAGCACUAAAUAUGUUAUUAUACUAAAUAAAAAAAGGCCACAUCAUUAUUUCCAUUAUCAAUUUCCACAUCAUAUAUAUAUAUAUUUUUAAAAUUAUAAAGUAUAAAAGACGUAUGUAUAUGCAUAUAUACGUUCUUAUAACGUAUACAUAUAUUUUAUAAUUCCUAAAUAUACAUUUUUUUAUGUUUUAUCGUUUUAAAAUAUGUACAUACAUACAUACAUACAUACAUUUUUAUAUAAUAUUGACAUAUAUUUUAGGAUAUACAUAUAUACACUUUUUUUUUUUUUAUAAAAAUUGUCCACAUAAAUAUACAUAUGUCUUUUCACAUCUUUUAAUUUUAUUCAUCUUCUUUAUUGUUAUUAUUAUUUAUUUACUUAUUUACGUGUUUAUUAUCAUUUCAAAAGGAUAUUUUAAUUCUAUUCGUUUAUUUACUUGUUGUUAUGUGAUUGAUUCGUCUCUUAUAUUUAUUUAUUUCAUUUUUGUUGAUUAUUUAUAUUGUUUAUGCUUAACUUGUCGUAUUCAUUAUCGUUUUGUUAUGCAUAUUAACACCAUACAUCAAAAAAGGAAUUUUUCUAAAUAAGGCAAUAUUUUGCGUUUGGAAAAUCGAGAAAACGUGCCCUAACGUGCUGGGUUUCGAUUUCUCGUUUGACCAAAAUAGCCAAAUACCCUUUUUAAACUUUCAAAAUAAGACCAUAUUUCGCGUUUGGAAAUUCGAGAAAACGUGCCCUAACGUGUUGGGUUUCGAGUACUCGUUUGGCAAAAUAGUCAAAUAUCCUUUUGAAAUUUUAAAACGAGGCAAUGUUUUGCGUUUGGAAAUUCGAGAGAAUGUGCCCUAACGUGCUAGGUUUCGAUUUCUCGUUCGACUAAAUAGCCAAAUAUCCUCUUAAAUUUUAAUCCAUGUCGUUCGAGUUUUUUAAGGAUCAUACUCUAAAUCUCUUUAAAGUUUUCAAUCUUCGACACUAAGACAUUAACUAAUCAACUAGGUACCAAUUUUUGGGCGUUACGAGGGUACUAAUCCUUCCUCGUUCGUAACCGACUCCCGAACCCAUUUUUUUGAAUUUCGUAGACCAAAAUUGUUGUUUUAAUAAAAAAUUAAAUCGUUUAUUAAAAACAACCACUUUUCGAGGUGACCCGAUCACACCUCAAAAAAAACAAAGAUUGGUGGCGACUCCCAUUUUCGUUUUAUUUUCAAAAUCCAAGUCGACCCCGUUUUCUCAAAAAAAUUGUGUCAACAGCCAUCAUCCACAAGAAAUUUCAGACUCUUAGCUUCAUUUUUGCUUUCUUUAAUUAAGUGGUAGAUGUCAUUUAAAUGAUGAGAAAAUGUGAAAUAGAAAAUUAAUGGUCGUUCAAAAGGAUUGAAAUUGAAGCAUCUUUUAUCUGCAGAUUUUCAUAAAGGAAAACAUGCAUAUUCUGCAACUAUCAUCAUCAUAUAUAUUAAAAUGUAGUAUUUAUUUUAAUAUUCUACUCUUGGGUGUUGUUUAAAACUUGAAAAAAUUAAGUUAUUUUUCCUUUUCUCUUUUCAAUUUUUUAAAAGAACUAGAGGAUAAAUUAUUUGAUAAAACUUGUAAAUUUGAAGGCUUAAAUUUAUUAAAUUAUUUAAAAUUAGAGUCAAAUUAAUAGAAUAUAUAAAUAUUAAGCACUAAAUAUGUUAUUAUACUAAAUAAAAAAAGGCCACAUCAUUAUUUUCAUUGUCAAUUUAACGACAAGUAAUCAAAAAAAAAUGAAUCCAAAUAUUAAUACCUAAAUUGAAAAAUUUUAAAAUUAGAUGACCAAAACAAGAAAACAAACAUAAUCGAGCCACGAUUGAUAUAGUUUACCCUUAAAUUUUAGGCUUAUGGUUUUCCAACUCUUUAAACUAAUGCAAGAAAAAUAAAAUAAUUAAGAAAUUAAAUAGCGUAAAAUUAUCAUAAAUAAAUUGAAAUUGAUGCAAUUCUAGUGAACGUGGAGAUAUCAUUAGUCCUUGUUAGUUUUUUAAUCAUUAAAUUUUACAUCCACCCAAGAGUUUAGGCCAAUGUUCCAAAUAUUUCUGUCCAUCCUUUAAAUUGGUAAAACUUAACCUUUCGUUUGGGUAUUCUUCAAAUUAAGGAUUUAGUUUUGAAAAUUUAAAGAGGAAGAUGGAUAAAUGGGUCAAUAACUUGUUGACACCAUUUUUUUGAGAAAACGGGGUUGACUUGGAUUUUGAAAAUAAAACGAAAAUGAGUCGCCACCAAUCUUUUUUUUUUGAGGUGUGAUCGGGUCACCUCGAAAAGUGGUUGUUUUUAAUAAACGAAUUAAUUUUUAUUAAAACAACGAUUUUGGUCUACGAAAUUUAGAAAAAUGGGUUCGGGAGUCGGUUACGCACGAGGAAGGAUUAGCACCCUCGUAACACCCAAAAAUUGGUACGUAGUUGAUUAGUUAAUGUCUUAGUGUCGAAGAUUGAAAACUUUAAAGAGAUUUAGAGUAUGAUCCUUAAAACAACGCGAACGACAUGGAUUAAAAUUUAAGAGGAUAUUUGGCUAUUUAGUCGAACGAGAAAUCGAAACCCAGCACGUUAGGGCACAUUCUCUCGAAUUUCCAAACACAAAACAUUGCCUCAUUUUAAAAUUUCAAAAGGAUAUUCGACUAUUUGGCCAAACGAGUAAUCGAAACCCAACACGUUAGGGCACGUUUUCUCGAAUUUCCAAACGCGAAAUAUGGUCUUAUUUUGAAAGUUUAAAAUGGGUAUUUGGCUAUUUUGGUCAAACGAGAAAUCGAAACCCAGCACGUUAGGGCACGUUUUCUCGAUUUUCCAAACGUAAAAUAUUGCCUUAUUUAGAAAAAUUCCUUUUUUGAUGUAUGGUGUUAAUAUGCAUAACAAAACGAUAAUGAAUACGACAAGUUAAGCAUAAACAAUAUAAAUAAUCAACAAAAAUAAAAUAAAUAAAUAUAAGAGACGAAUCAAUCACAUAACAACAAGUAAAUAAACGAAUAGAAUUAAAAUAUCCUUUUGAAAUGAUAAUAAACACGUAAAUAAGCAAAUAAAUAAUAAUAACAAUAAAGAAGAUGAAUAAAAUUAAAAGAUGUGAAAAGACAUAUGUAUAUUUAUGUGGAUAAUUUUUAUAAAAUAAAAAAAAUGUGUAUAUAUGUAUAUCCUAAAAUAUAUGUCAAUAUUAUAUAAAAAUAUAUGUAUGUAUGUACAUAUUUUAAAACGAUAAAACAUAAAAAAAAAUAUAUUUAGGAAUUAUAAAAUAUACGUAUACGUUAUAAGAACGUAUAUAUGCAUAUAUAUAUUUUUAAAAAUUAUAAAGUACAAAAGACGUAUGUAUAUGCAUAUAUAUAUAUAUCUCAUCUUCAACUCCCAAAAGACGUAGCUUUACAUCUCUUCCUUCGAUAUCCUCAGUCCUUACCAAAGAAGACGCGGUCAUGAAAGAAGACCAAGACCCUCAAUUACCAAGUUUUGAUUUCAAAUCAUUCAUGGUAGACAAGGUUAAUGCAGUUAACCAAGCCCUGGACUCGGCUGUUCCACUCCGUGACCCUGUUAAAAUCCAUGAAGCAAUGCGUUACUCCCUUUUAGCCGGUGGCAAAAGGGUCCGCCCAGUUCUUUGUUUGGCUGCUUGUGACCUUGUUGGUGGCAAAGAAUCCAUGGUUAUGCCAGCAGCUUGUGCUCUUGAAAUGAUCCACACCAUGUCUUUAGUCCACGAUGAUCUUCCUUGCAUGGACAACGAUGAUCUUCGUAGAGGGAAACCAACUAACCACAAAGUUUAUGGUGAAGAUAUAGCUGUGUUAGCAGGGGAUGCUCUUUUAGCCUUUUCGUUUGAACAUAUAGCUGUAUCCACAGUUGGUGUCACACCUGAUAGGAUUGUAAGAGCAAUUGGGGAAUUAGCUAAAUCUAUUGGGGCUGAAGGGUUGGCGGCUGGUCAAGUUGUGGAUAUAACCAGUGAGGGUCUAACCAAUGUGGGGUUGGAUCAUUUAGAAUUCAUUCAUGUUCAUAAAACUGCUCCAUUGCUUGAAGCAGCUGC
rnacentral:lncRNA from 1 species